rnacentral:tRNA from 1 species
GUCAGGAUGGCCGAGCGGUCCAAGGCGCCAGACUCAAGGAUUAUGCCUUCCCUUGGUUAAAGGAGGUUUCUGGUCUCUGAGUGGACGGUGGGUUCAAAUCCCACUCCUGACA